rnacentral:rRNA from 1 species
UACGUAGGUGGCAAGCGUUGUCCGGAUUUACUGGGCGUAAAGAGCGCGCAGGCGGUCGUUCAAGUCGAGUGUGAAAGCCCCCGGCUCAACUGGGGAGGGUCAUUCGAUACUGAUCGACUUGAAGGCAGGAGAGGGAAGUGGAAUUCCCGGUGUAGUGGUGAAAUGCGUAGAUAAUCGGGAGGAACACCAGUGGCGAAGGCGACUUCCUGGCCUGUUCUUGACGCUGAGGCGGCGAAAGCUAGGGGAGCAAACGGG